GCCGGGCGUGGUGGCGCAUGCCUGUAAUCCCAGCUACUCGGGAGGCUGAGGCAGGAGAAUCGCUUGAACCCGGGAGGCUGAGGUUGCAGUGAGCCGAGAUCGCGCCACUGCAUUCCAGCCAGGGCAACAAGAGCGAAACUCCGUCUCAA
rnacentral:sRNA from 1 species